rnacentral:rRNA from 1 species
GAUGAACGCUGGCGGCGUGCCUAAUACAUGCAAGUCGAGCGAACGGACGAGAAGCUUGCUUCUCUGAUGUUAGCGGCGGACGGGUGAGUAACACGUGGAUAACCUACCUAUAAGACUGGGAUAACUUCGGGAAACCGGAGCUAAUACCGGAUGAUAUUUUGAACCCCAUGGUUCAAAAGUGAAAGACGGUCUUGCUGUCACUUAUAGAUGGAUCCGCGCUGCAUUAGCUAGUUGGUAAGGUAACGGCUUACCAAGGCAACGAUGCAUAGCCGACCUGAGAGGGUGAUCGGCCACACUGGAACUGAGACACGGUCCAGACUCCUACGGGAGGCAGCAGUAGGGAAUCUUCCGCAAUGGGCGAAAGCCUGACGGAGCAACGCCGCGUGAGUGAUGAAGGUCUUCCGAUCGUAAAACUCUGUUAUUAGGGAAGAACAUAUGUGUAAGUAACUGUGCACAUCUUGACGGUACCUAAUCAGAAAGCCACGGCUAACUACGUG